UACGGAGGGUGCGAGCGUUGUCCGGAAUCACUGGGCGUAAAGGGCUCGUAGGUUGCCAACUAAGUCAGACGUGAAAUCCCUCGGCUUAACCGGGGAACUGCGUCUGAUACUGGAUGGCUUGAGUUCGGGAGAGGGAUGCGGAAUUCCAGGUGUAGCGGUGAAAUGCGUAGAUAUCUGGAGGAACACCGGUGGCGAAGGCGGCAUCCUGGACCGACACUGACACUGAGGAGCGAAAGCCAGGGGAGCAAACGGG
rnacentral:rRNA from 1 species